rnacentral:tRNA from 1 species
GGCUCGGUGACUUAGUUGGUAAAGCACUCGUCUAGCAUACAAGAGUCGUGGGACUGAGUCCCACCUGAGCAA